GGCCUGGUAGAUCAGUUGGUAGAACAUGUGCGUCCGAAGCGUACGCAGCGUCCAUGCGUGGGUUCGAAUCCCACCGAGGCUA
rnacentral:tRNA from 1 species